CCCAUGGAAGCAAUAGAUGGAGGAGAUGUUAGAGAAGAUGCCUGUGAUGACUUCUGGAGGGAUCCCCGUUUCUGUCAGCUUGGUGCAGAAAACCUGGCUCUCCCUGUAGAAGUCUGAGAUGCCAGAGUUAAAUGAGGUCAGCUCCUGCCAACCCCAGGUGAGCCUUCCCAAGAUGAACUGACCCCAGAUGGUUCUGCCCGUGACGAGCUUGGUGAUCCAUCUCCAUCUUCAGGAAUGAGAGCCCCCAACAUCAAAGGGGUGAAGCUGGGGCUGAAAGUAUGGAGGCACUGGAGUCCUCACUGCUUGCACAUGCUGGGGCUCGAGGGAAGAGCACACCAAGGAUCCUAAUCUCUCCCCUCUGCUGUGGCCCCUGUGGUGAUAACCGUGAAAAGCAUGACAAUCCUUCAAGACUAUCCUCUCCCAGCCAAGGUCACACACCACAGCAUUGGCAUCUUGAGGACUCCUAACAAGUCCACGCUGUUACCACCAUUCAGGAAAUCAGGGAUGCCCCUCUAGGAGCUGUGGCAUGUUGAUUGAGGGGCUGCCUGGAACCUGGCCCUUGCUCUAUGGGCACUGCCCUGGCUCUGAGCUGAACAGAAGGUUCACACAGGCCUCUGCAUCUCCGCCCCAAUGUGGGUCAUGGAUCUGGUACACUUUGAGGACAGGUGUGCACAAGCAAGCCCUUGGGCUUAAAUGGAACAUCUACUCCUCCAUUUUUCCCCAAUUCAGGGCUGAAUCAUCAGCACUGCCCCAACCAGCACCUCAUGAAGCUCAUUUCCUGAAUGACAAUGAAUUUGGCUACAGUAACGGUGGGGUGGGAAAGGGAAAAGCCCCUGACCACCAACCCCACAAAUGCAGGGGCCCUCAGCUGCUGCUGGGGAGUGGCCCUCCCAGAUCUACCCUGGCACUGGGAUCCCCUGUUCAAGUUUCAUCCCAGACCCCCUGGAGGGCCAUUUUAAAAAAUUUUA